rnacentral:rRNA from 1 species
AUGAGGUGUGGAUAGCGGAGAAAUUCCAAUCGAACCCGGAGAUAGCUGGUUCUCCCCGAAAUAGCUUUAGGGCUAGCGUCGAGGUAGAGAGUUGCGUGAAGGUAGAGCACUGAAUAUGUGAUGGCCCCAUCUCGGGGUACUGAGCAUAAUCAAACUGCGAAUGUCACGGAAACAUACUCGGCAGUCAGACAGCGGGUGAUAAGGUCCGUUGUCAAGAGGGAAACAGCCCAGACCAUCAGCUAAGGUCCCAAAAUGUAUGCUAAGUGGAAAAGGAUGUGGAGAUGUACAGACAACUAGGAGGUUGGCUCAGAAGCAGCCAUCCUUUAAAGAGUGCGUAACAGCUCACUAGUCGAAUGACUCUGCGCCGAUAAUUUACCGGGGCUAAGCAUACUACCGAAGCUAUGGAUCCCAAGGGAUGGUAGGGGAGCGUUCCAUGAACGGAGAAGCGCGAUCGAGAGGACGCGUGGAGAUCAUGGAAGAGAGAAUGCCGGUGUGAGUAGCGGAACGUGGGUGAGAAUCCCACGCACCGAAAACCCAAGGUUUCCAGAGGAAGGUUCGUCCGCUCUGGGUAAGUCGGGACCUAAGGCGAGGCCGAGAGGCGUAGUCGAUGGACAACAGGUAGAGAUUCCUGUACUCAUAUAUAUGUGAAGGAAUGACGGAGAGAGGAAGCUGCAGCCAGCGGCUGGAAGAGCUGGUGCAAGCGAGAUAUCGGGAUGGCAGGCAAAUCCACCAUCCGAAACGAGAAGGCGUGAAGCGUACGGAAAGCUAAGGCGAGUACGGAAGGCAGUGGAGGAGCUUCCAAGAAAAGUUUCUAACGAAAGUAUAUGUGACCCGUACCGAAAAUGGACACACAUGGGUGAGGAGAGAAUCCUAAGGUGAGCGAGAGAACUAUAGCUAAGGAACUCUGCAAAAUGACUCCGUAACUUAGGGAGAAGGAGUGCUCAUAGAGAUAUGAGCCGCAGUGAAACGGCCCAAGCGACUGUUUACCAAAAACACAGCUCUCUGCUAAGCCGCAAGGCGAAGUAUAGGGGGUGACGCCUGCCCGGUGCUGGAAGGUUAAGGGGAGGGGUUAACGCAAGUGAAGCCCUGAACUGAAGCCCCAGUAAACGGCGGCCGUAACUAUAACGGUCCUAAGGUAGCGAAAUUCCUUGUCAGGUAAGUUCUGACCCGCACGAAAGGCGUAACGAUUUGGGCGCUGUCUCAGCUGUAGACUCGGUGAAGUCUUAGUACCUGUGAAGAUGCAGGUUACCCGCGACUAGACGGAAAGACCCCAUGGAGCUUCACUGCAGGUUGAUAUUGGGAUUUGAUGCAGCAUGUACAGGAUAGGUAGGAGGCAAGGAGAUGGAUACGCCAGUAUUCAAGGAGCCGCUGUUGGGAUACUACCCCUGUUGUAUUGGAUUUCUAACCGGACGACGUAAAGCCGUUGACGGGACAGUGUCAGUCGGGCAGUUUGACUGGGGCGGUCGCCUCCCAAAGAGUAACGGAGGCGCCCAAAGAUACCCUCAGCUUGGAUGGAAACCAAGCGCAGAGUGCAAAGGCAAAAGGGUGUUUGACUGCGAGACCCACAAGUCGAGCAGGGACGAAAGUCGGGCUUAGUGAUCCGGCGGUGCUGAAUGGAAAGGCCGUCGCUCAACGGAUAAAAGCUACCCUGGGGAUAACAGGCUGAUCUCCCCCAAGAGUUCACAUCGACGGGGAGGUUUGGCACCUCGAUGUCGGCUCAUCGCAUCCUGGAGCUGAAGUCGGUUCCAAGGGUUGGGCUGUUCGCCCAUUAAAGCGGUACGCGAGCUGGGUUCAGAACGUCGUGAGACAGUUCGGUCCCUAUCUGUCGUGGGCGCAGGAAAUUUGAGAAGAGCUGUCCUCAGUACGAGAGGACCGGGAUGGACGCAUCAAUGGUGGACCAGUUGUCACGCCAGUGGCAUAGCUGGGUAGCUAAAUGCGGAAGGGAUAAACGCUGAAGGCAUCUAAGUGUGAAACCCACUUCAAGAUGAGAUUUCCCAUUGC